rnacentral:rRNA from 1 species
GACGAACGCUGGCGGCGUGCCUAAUACAUGCAAGUCGAACGCACGAAGUUGAAGAGCUUGCUCUUUAACCAAGUGAGUGGCGGACGGGUGAGUAACACGUGGGUAACCUGCCCAUUAGAGGGGGAUAACAUUCGGAAACGGAUGCUAAUACCGCAUAGUUUCAGGAAUCGCAUGAUUCUUGAAGGAAAGGUGGCUUCGGCUACCACUAAUGGAUGGACCCGCGGCGUAUUAGCUAGUUGGUGAGGUAAUGGCUCACCAAGGCAAUGAUACGUAGCCGACCUGAGAGGGUGAUCGGCCACACUGGGACUGAGAUACGGCCCAGACUCCUACGGGAGGCAGCAGUGGGGGAUAUUGCACAAUGGGCGCAAGCCUGAUGCAGCGACGCCGCGUGGGGGAUGGAGGCUUUCGGGUUGUAAACCCCUUUCGGCGCGGGACAAGGCUCCGUUUGGCGGGGUUGAGGGUACGCGUCAAAGAAGCGCCGGCUAACUACGUGCCAGCAGCCGCGGUAAUACGUAGGGCGCGAGCGUUGUCCGGAAUUAUUGGGCGUAAAGGGCUCGUAGGCGGCUUGUCGCGUCUGCUGUGAAAACGCGGGGCUCAACUCCGCGCGUGCAGUGGGUACGGGCAGGCUGGAGUGCGGCAGGGGUGGCUGGAAUUCCUGGUGUAGCGGUGGAAUGCGCAGAUAUCAGGAAGAACACCGAUGGCGAAGGCAGGCCACUGGGCCGUCACUGACGCUGAGGAGCGAAAGCGUGGGGAGCGAACAGG